rnacentral:tRNA from 1 species
UCCCCAGUGGCUCAGAUGGUAAAGAGUCUGUCUGCAAUGUAGGAGAUGCAGGUUUGAUCCCUGGCUUGGGAA